ensembl:lincRNA
GACAAAACCACAAUCAAAGAGUACACAUGGAGGGACCCGUGGCUCCAUCUACAUAUGCAGCAGAGAGUUGUCUUAUCUAGCUUCAAUGGGAGGGGAGACUCUUGGUCUUAUGAAGGCUUGUUGCCCUAGCAUAGGGGAAUGCUAGAGGGGUGAGGUGGGAGUGUAUGGGUAGGUUGGGGAACACACUCAUAGAGGCAGGGGGUGGGAUGAGGUAGUUUGCAGAGGGAAGACUGGGGACAAGGGACAACAUUUGAAAUGUAAAUAAAUAACCAAUUAAUUAAAAGGCGGGGGCUAUUAGACAUUCUUAUAUCAUCUAAAGGCCACCUGGAGCUCUGGGUUAUGUAAAUCCAAAGAGAGCAGGCGCUCUAGUCAAGAAAACAGGAACUCUUUGUUCAGGGAACAGCUUCAAAAAGAAUGGUGAUUUAUAGAGGUAGAGGAUAUAUGUUAAUAGAGGACACUUGGCAUCUUCCUCUGGCUACUACACAUGCCCCGGGCACAUGCAGCAGCACGCACCCACUCACAGACAUAUUCACAUACAUGUAAAGAAGUAACUAAGUAGAUCCUUUAAAACUAAAAGAGUUGAGUUACAGGCUCUGUCAACUCAUUUACUGAAAGUCUUCUAAGAAAAGCACCAUUCUCAUAUAGAUAAUAAAGCAUCAUUUCUCUACCCCAGGUGGUCUCCAUUCUUUUUUUUUUAGCUCCUGGAUUCUAUGAUGUUCUUUUAGAAGUAUGUAGCUGCCUCUUGUGGAAGAUAGACAUGCAUGUUCUGACAGCUCAAAGAAAAAAAAUAUUUAUGGA